UUUCAGUGGGGUUAAAGAUUCAGGGGAUUGUCCUGACGUCAUGAUGAAUCUCGCAAACAAAAUUAAAAAAAGGCAGGGCACGAAUACGAGGAAGGAAAGGAAAACAUGGAGGCAUAAAGAUGAGGGAGAUGAAGGUUGUGAAAUAUAGAAACUUGUAAAUAUGCGAAUAAAUUGCAAUCAGGUUUGCAUUUCAUUUCAUUUUAAACCGGCACCUCUAAACUCAGCAAAAGCUAGAGGAAUGAUAUUUAUGAUCAACUUAUUCACCUCUGUCUUGGCUUCAGAGACAAAGUAUCAAAGAUGAUGACGCAGCAAAAAAAAAAAAAUAAGGCUUGGAGGUAAACAAACAUGGCUGACCACAUCUGCAUCUAGAUAACCAUCUUACAUGCACAGAGACAACCGCUACAAGGACUGAACGUGAAGAUAUUUAAUACUUGAUGACGCACACUGAAUCAUGACAGUUACGUAAAACCGUAAGUCAAAACCAGUGACUAAACAUCUCUUGGAAGAUGAUAUCCCAGAUUGUGGAGUGGGGAGACCAGUAAUUACUUCAGUGCAAUGUAGGCUUUACAUACUGUGCCUGUCUCUACUUUGGUUUGACCACACCAGAAAUUCAAACUGUUGGUAAGCGAGGCAAAUCACAGCAUGUUCACCACUCCAUUAUCUCAUACCAAACCUGGUGACUCACCAGGCAGAGGAGGAACUUACCACAGAGUUUGGUGCGAAGGCGUCUCAACAGCCUGACCAAAGCUGACGGGGAGGCAAAGUGGACGUGACACUUUUCCGACUUGGCCCAGACAAAAAAAAGCUAGCAUGGGGGGCAGAGGUACUCCAAAACAAGCCAACAUAAAGAGCUGACGUGAAACCAAAACUUCCAGGUUCUGUUCCAGAGGACAACCCCCACAAGUCACACACCAGUCUCUGCUACCUCCGCAGCCUGAGUGGAAUAAGUCACUCAUGCAUGCUGAUGACUGCGUCAACCUUGGUUCACUGAUACUGUCCUAAAAAUAGUAGCCUCUUCAUUGGCCUUCGUCAUGCAGGUGACUCACAGGGAGCCAUACAGCUGCACCAGGUGACCCCAGAGUAUUUCUGAUACGACAAGAGGUCAGAGGUGAAGUGUCAGCUACCAGCAGUCUGCGACAAGUUUUUAUAUCUGCUCUCACAUCAGCCCCUAAGUUUAGCUCGACAUGCACACAGUCAGAGGAGCAUGAGAUCGGCAUUCUGGUCGGAUUCCAUCCCGCAGAAGCCGAUCUGCGGGAAACCCUGACGACGCAAAAAACCGCGGGCACAUUCCCUGUGGUGUCAGACAGAUGGACAGACAGGCAGCUGACCUCACGCCGCCACAGCAUGUGACACGAUGGGCUAGAGGACCAGCCAGUGUCAGGGAUGGACCCCGUCAAGGGGACAGCAUUGGGUGAGAUCUCUCUCUCCCCCCUUAGCGUCGGUAUUUCGCAAUGUGAGAGACAGACAGAGAGAGAUGAAGCAGCCGAGAGGAUGAAGGGACUAAAGGGGAGUGAGUGGACCAGCAGAGAAAAGCAGAGAUGGCGUGAUGAAAAUGAAGAGCGCAUGACAGGAGGUUGGAAGGGUCUCUCUGCUCCAUUUGUUCUGUGUGUGUGUGUGUGUGUGUGUGUGUGUGUUGAAGAAUGUCGAGGCCCCCAUUUACUUUGGUAAUGACAUUAUAAGCACCUGACUGCCACUAGUGGCAGACUUUACUCCAGAGAAUGUUAAUUUAAACAGGGCAGUUCGACGGAGAACCACAGUCUGAUCUGAUGGCCUCUGAGCAGCUCCGCCGGAGCAGUUGGGGAUUAAGGGCCUUGCUUAUGGUAAUGAGGGAGGGGCUACUCGUUAAAUUUCAAUUACUCCGAUUUAUCCCGCUGGUACAGGGAUCAGGACUUGGAUGAUCAUGUACGAGGAAAUAUUUGUAUUCUUCCAUAUUAUAUUGAUAUACGCUUAAUUUAAAGGCCCGUGUAUGUUUUAAAACAUUUUAUACAACUUCCUUGAAUCUGUAGAACAUGUAAGUAAUUUUUUUUAGCAAAGAAAUGAGUUUGAGUCAAACUGUAAUUUUCCGAGUGGAUGUAACAACCACCAAAUUUAAAAUUAAUUAUUUACGUCCCUGUCUGGCUACCCCACACCCAAGUCAAAGUAAAAAAAAUGACAAAAUGACAAAUGGCGCAGUAGGCUACAGUACAUUAGGUAAGCAGUGUUCCUGGCAUCAAAAAGCACAGCUAACUGAUUAAUAAAACAUUUUAUCUUGCAUUUUUAUGUUGUGGUUGGGUUCCUGGCCAUCAGGACCCCUGAAGUCUUUCUUAAGCUAAAGCGUCUCCCAUUGUUCUACUAUAUUUUAUACGCUAAUUUUCACUGUCAUGCCACGUGUAACUUUUAUAUUAUGGCUUAUUGUUUGGAUCAACUUGAGUAAUGCGUGUUAUAACACUUGUCAAGUAAUUUAGGGCAAAACCUGAAAGAUACUGCAGUUGUGUUCCUCUGCUCAAUUUGUUGACAGUGAAAGUGAUUUCAAUGCAACAAGAAACUGAAGUGAAAAAGAGUCAUUUCAUAAUUGGCCAUAUUUGUGACUUGUGUUGGAUUCUAGUCCAGUUUUGAUCUAUGUGUUGGCACUGACAUUAUUUCCUAAGUAAUUAUUGUUACUUUCAAAAUGUAUAGAUCGAUACGAUAGUCUUCUAAAUCUGAUCAGAUUUAGAAGACUAUAGGGCUCAUGACCUCAGUAUUUCUAAAAUCUUGGCUACGGCCCUGACCUCAGCUCUACUUUGUGUUCAACAAAUGCUAACACGCUAAACUGGUAAACAUCAUACCUGCUGAACAUCACAUUGUGAGCAUGUUAGCAUGCUGUUGUUAGCAUUUACCUUACAGCCUCACAGAACAACUGGCAUGGCUGUCGACUCUAAGUCUUGUUAUAUAUCUUAUUAUAUAUUAUGUAGUUAAAAAAUAUUUUUAUGUUUACCUUAAAAUUGAGAUCUUCAAUGGGAUUUACCUGACUGAAUAAAGGUUGUCAUAACUAUUUAUAUUUUAAGCGAAGAAAGAUUUAAAUAAUUGUUGUUCUGUAUCACUACAAAGAACCUGUUUCGUGCCAGGGUUUCUGCCUUUGACACUGUUUUGAAAUGACGUCUUCUUCUUCUCUACCACAGUAUGUAAACCCUAAAAAAGCCCUAUAGCCGUACAACAAGAUAUUCGGAUUUAAUGCAAUCCUUUAGGUUUGAGUUAGAGAGCAAACGAUGAUUCUAUAAGGCAAUGCAAUUAAAUUUUCCUAUAUGAAUCCUAAAAGUCUUUUUGGCCACAGCUGUCACUCUCAUGUUCCUCGUUCGAAAUAGCUUCACAAAGGUGAAGAGGAGCGCUAAACAGCCAUUUUGCAGUACGAACUGUUUGAUGCUUGAUGUGUAUCACAUCCACUCUAAUGCUUUUGCAGGCACGGAGUUGACGUCAAACCCAGAGACUGACGAGUCUGUGGACUUGUUCCUGCUGAGAGUGAAAGCUUUUUCUGCGUGGGAGAGUUGCUUUCUUGUCUCUUAGAGCCCCUUUCCUCACCCCUGUCCCUCCUUUCCCCUCUCCUUCACUCUCCCUUUUCUCUCCCGACGUACUGGCUUAGAAAUGAGGAGUAAGUCCCUCUGUUUCAAGAGGUUUGGAAUUAGUUUGUCUCCUAGCAACAACCCGUACAAUACAACAUGGUUUUGUGCGAGACAGAGACACAGUGUGAGAGUGAUGUGUGUGUAAGAAGUGUGAGAGACUUUAGGAACGGGUUGAUCUGUGUGUGUGCGUGUGUGCGCGUGCGUGUGUGUCUGUGUGUGUGCCCAUGCAUUAAUCAGCUGAGCACACUUUUUCCACUGUCGUACAUGUUUGGUGGGUUUACUCUCAUGUGGAAACCUGUUCCACUCCACGCGUUGUCACACUUUUCUCUUGUCUUCCUCCGUCCUCCAACACACACACACACACACACGCACACACACACAGAUACAUUCUUCAUUCACAGCGGACAGCACUUCCUCCCUGGGUUGAUGUUACAUAAGCGCUAAGAAGCUGAAUGGAAACUGGUGAUAAGCUGGUGUUUUAUCACAAGGACAGAGGCAGUGACCAUGAGAGUCUGGGUGGGACACACUGUCCGUGGGUGUAUAAAUGGGAGAGAACAUCCUCUCAUCCCGCCCCCACCACCACCCACAUGGCCACCAUGAUGUCACCAACCCUGGCUUUUAACUAAAAUGUAGGUCAUAAUCUGGAAAACCUCCCCCAGUGACAGCGAAAUUAAAACUUGAUUGGGACAAAUGUAGACUGAUGUAAUAACGACAAUAUAUAAGAAAAGUCUUUCAACUUAUUUUUGGGCCAGACCUCACUGUAAUCACUUCCUCCUUCCUCUGAGUGACUUACUGCUCUCAGAUGUAGCUGAAACUUUUUUACUGGAAAGGAAUGGGUUAAGCUGCCAUAGCUGGAACAGUGAAAUCUGAGAAGUGACGGGAGAGGGAGAAGGAAGGGGUGAUUUCUGGGGACCAGAGAAAAAGAGGAAGACCCAGAGCGCUACCCUUUGCCCUCUUCCUCUCUGACAGCUCUUUGCCUCUCUGCCGGUUGCCCAGGCUUUCUUCUCCUUUCUGUUUUCUCUGUCUUGAGUCUGUGUUUGAGUGGCAGCAGAGCUCCUUCGAGCUCGUAGGCAGCCUGUGAGUCGUUUUCAUGCACGAGAUUACGCGAGAGCAACUGUGCCAACGUGUGUUUGUUCGGCUGUUUUUUUGCCGGGGGACUCUUUUUACAGUUACACCGCUCCAGACAAGGUUCUUUCCCUCCUGGUGUUAAAGCUCAGCAGUAAGCGUUUCCCACUUCCUGUGCAGCGCUGAAUCAGCCUCCAAGAAUGUACGAGCACUGACUCACACUUCCUCCUGGAUAUGACAGAGCUUCCUCUCCUCCGCCAACUGAUUUAGCCUUUCUCUCCUCCCUCCCUCCACCCAUCUUCCUUUCACUCCCACCACCACCCCCAACCACCCAACCUCCUUCCUCUAACAGAUGAAGGUUUGAGAGACAACCCAGAGUGGAAUAAGUGACUCCCGGCUCGGCGUGCAUGUAUGUUUGCUAAAAGGCAGAACAUUGACCAACUGAAGCAGGGCACCGAGGAGGGAUAAGUCACUCGUCUCAGUCAUCAAGCAUCUGAGUCAUUUGAUUUAAUUUGUCCUGUCUAUAUUUAGAUGCUUCAGUCUGGCCUUAUGAUCAUUCAUAGGCGCAGAACAGAUGGGUCUCUGUUGCAUCGCUCGAGCUAACAACAGGUCCACCAUUAACGUCUCCUGGGCAGGUAAACUGCAGUUCAACUCUUAUUAAAACAAUUAACUGAAAGCGCGGUUAAGUACACUAAAGUCAUUUAUAUUAUAUUGCUAAUUUCUCACUAACCUGCAGUGAUAUCAAGUCACGCAGAGAGUUUUAGUAUUAUUACAUCUGCCUCUGAGAUUUCUGCCUCCAUGCCACUAUAACGGAGGAGAAUUGAAUUUUAUUUUUUUUUUAUUUGUCCUCACAGCACUGAAAGAUUACAUUUAAAUAAUUCAACAGCGUCCUUCCAGAAACAGCGCCCACUUUACUCUGUAAUCCGUAGAGCAGACUGUCAACAGUUUUUAUAUAUAGUGUCUACUGUAAAAAGCAUGAAACCAUUCACAAUGAGAUCUGUGCAACCAGGGUUUUGUUUUUUGAAGGACACAAAUCUUUUAAAUGUAACCUUUCAAUGCUUUGAGUACUACUAGCAAAAUUCCAUUCACCUCUAUUGUGUUGAGGCAUCAGCAAAACGAGAGCAGGAUUUCUCAAAACCUACUCAAAUGAGACCAAAUCUGCAUGAAAAGAUACCACUAAGACCAAGUGAGAAAAUAUGAUUUUUUUAAUUAAAAGAAAAUGCUUUGUGUCAUGAGGUGCAACAGGAGCUCUAAUUUGCUCUCAUUAAAACUGUGUGUGUGUGUGUGUGUGUGUGUGUGUGUGUGUGUGUGUGUGUGUGUGUGACACUUAGAGAUGAAAUCAGUUGUGUCUAGAGAAUUUUAUUUUAACACAUUCGGGUCAGAGCCAGUGAAGAUUAGCAAUGUUUUGACAAAACACAUGGGUUGCACACAUAGGGUAACAGAAUUGGUAAAUGGAAAAGAAAAUUGGCAACCAAAACGUUUUUAGUUCCUCUUUCCCAAAAAUUAGCAUUUUGGUAAAUCAAGUUCCCCUUUAAACUUGAACUUCAUUCUGCGGUCGAUGAGGAAAUUCACCAUAUUCACAUUUUAAAUAUUCUAUUUUGAAUAAUAAUUCUAUUUUUAGAUCAAUUGUUGUUUUUAAUAUUCAAGACUUAUUUUUAAAUUUGGAUUUAUUUAUGUAUGCAUUGAUUAUUCAUUUCAUUGUCUGAUCAAAUAUCCACAAACAUGCCUGCGAAUAAAGAAUAAAGCACA